rnacentral:lncRNA from 1 species
GGCCGCACCGCUCGCGGCCCGGAGCGCGGCCGAGCCACACCUGCUGUGUACGGAAGUUCCUGGGCCAGAGAUUAAAUCCAAGCUGCAGCUGCAACCUACACCAUCGCUGGAGCAAUGCUGGAUCCUUUAACCCACUGCACUGGGCUGGGGAUCAAACCCCCACCUCCACAGACACCCGAGCUGCUGCAGUCAGAUUCUUAACCUACUGCACCACAGCAGAAACUCCUCUGACUCUUUUUUUGUGCUGAGAUGAUGGGCCUCCCAGUUGAGGAAUAUAAACAGCGGGCAGGCUCCUAACCGGCCUUGAGAUAGUGUUUGGGGAAUGGAGUCAGAAGAGACAGGAAGCUUCUAUCUGGGAACGUGGGUUUCUCGGGGCAGUGGGACAUGCUCAUGGUUUUGCCCUGCUGUCUCAGAGGGUGUCACCUGCCUGUCUUCAAGCACAUGUCGCCAGAAGCUCAUUUAACACCUGAGAUGCCAGCCUCUAGGCAACCGCCUCCUGCUAAAAAGCACAAGAGAACGUGGCAGGAAAUGUACCUGCUGUUAAGGGACCGGGGCUUGUCACACUGCUUCGGCCCCCAGCACUGAAACUGGGCCUGAGCUGGCCGCCUGGUGGACCUGCCCAGUCAGCACCAGGACUAUGGGUUAUUCCCCCGGUUUCUAAGUUAUGUGACUUAGAAUACGGUUUCCCCUUCCAGUGACUUUGGUUAGUGCACUGAUUUCAGUGCUCUUUGUAUUUUUCAAAAGGAAAUCCUACCCAUCUUAGAAAUAAGAAUGUGCGUAUCUUCUUCCCCUGGCUGUCAUCUGUCCCAGUCUUGUGUGUGGGUAACAAUCAUUGGGUGAAGUUAGUGAAGAAAAUGUAAAGAGGUAUUUUCACAUCCUUGUGCAGACACUCCACAAUCCCAGGUGUGUGUGUGUGUCUACUUAUUCACACACGUGCAAGCUAUUCUCUUCCUGUCCCUGGCUUCCCGGAGCCACCAUUUCCGCUGAUGGUCAGAAAGGGACAGCUGGAAAGUGGGAAGUCAGUGGUGUCAGGAAAUACCAGUGAAUCCUGAUCGCACUUCCAUGUUUUGACAUCAUUGUUAGCACGAGGUGACUUUGGAGGUGCCUUGUACACUUGACUGUGAGUUGGUGUUUUUUUUUUUUUGAGUUGGGGAUUUUUAAAAUCCUUUUCAUCAGUCCUGGGCCUGGUGCUCAUUCAAAUGAUCACUGAUUGGAAUGUUGUGAUUUUUAAGAAUCAGAUGUUUUUCUUCUCAGUAAAUUUUGUUCUUGUUCAGUGACCAUGAAGGAAGAAGAGAAAUCGCUGUGUUGAUUUGAAAUUUGACUCGCCGGUGCUCUUCGCAGCUUCUGUGGGCCUGUUUUAACCAGCAAAGGUCUAGGGGCUGAACAUAAACCUUCUUACAGUGUUUUGGCCAAAGUGGCCACCAUUUUGCGUUGGAAAUACUUCAAGAUCUUUCUUUUAUUUAUUUUUGUCUUUUUAGGCCCGCACCUGCAGCAUAUGGAGGUUCCCAGGCUAGGGGCUGAAUUGGAGCCACAGCUGCCGGCCUACACCACAGCCACAGCAGCACAGAUUCUCAGCCACAUCUGCACCCUACAUCAUAGCAGCGUCAGAUCCCUAACCCACUGAGCGAGGCCAGGGAUCAAACCCACGUCCUCCUGGUUUCUAGUCGGAUUCGUUUCCACUGUGCCACAAGGGGAACUCCCUUUCCUUGCUUUUUUUUUUUUUUUUUUUUUUUUUCUUGCUUGCUUUGCUCUUGUUUGUAUCAUGAGUUGGUUUGAGACUAGAAACAACCAGGCAGCAGUUUGGUACAAGGUCCGGGGACCAUGACUGUAGUGGGUGGCCUUGGCAGAUUCCAGUAGGCUGCCCCCUGGUCUUUAUUAAAGUCCAGGGGAGAGUUCCCUCUAGAAUCCUGAUCUCCUUAGAUGAAACUGAGUGAGGCCGAAGGUACAUAGAGCCCAAUUAGGUUUCACCAUUAGGCCAUGGAUGCCAUGUUCUCCACAGCCAGUGCCGAGAUUUUGGUCAGCUGAUGAAAUGACUAGUGGUGUCCCUAGCUGCUGGCACCACUUCUGUUUCCUAGGCAGUACAGACAUGCUGGGUGCCAGGUGCGCGCUGCUGCCUGGCUGGAUGGAGGUGGAGUCUUCACUUGUCCUGAAGCUCUGGGCGGCUCCAAGCAGGUGGCCGCCUCCUGAGCCCUUCAUCUCCUUUCUUUAUUAUGGGAGGAAAAUAAAGCUUUGUCUUUUGUCUUCGGCCAAGCCCACAGCAUGCAGAAGUUCUUGGGCCAGGGAUUGAGCCUGUGCCGCAGCAGCAACGCAACGCGAGCCACAGCAGUGACAAUGCCAGAUCCUUCACCUGCUAGGCCACCAGGAAACUCUUUUUUUUUUUUUUCCAUUUGCUUUUUACUGUUGCUUUUUGGCCCCUCCAUCCCCUCCCUCUUUGAACAAAAAGCAGUACAGAGCAAACACUGUAUCAGCAGGCAUUCUCUGUCUUGCAUUUUGAUAUGUAAAGAGCAAAAGCUCCUGUGAGAAACUUCCUUCUACCAAUAAGAGGGUCAAUUCCUCAAACCUAAAGCCUAAAAUAGCAAGAAGCCUAGGAGCAAGCAAGACAGCUUUUGUUUGUGCUCGUAGGUUUUAAUGCUUUGUGGUCUGGUGAAAUGACAAUGUGGGAACAUGGAAAGUGUGCCUCUGGGCAGGGGUGACUUGUCCACCUGCCUCUGGGCGAGGCCUCUGGAUUGAUGCGGGAGGCAGCCCCCAUCCCCGAGGCUGUGCUGCUGCCCCAGAUGCUGCGGCCCACUGUCACCUCAGUGCUGUGCCCUGUGACAUCCUUUCUGGGUUUCCCCUCCACCCGAUUCUGAAAUGUGUCUCUGCUCCACCUCCCGGAGCGCCUUCCCCUUAGUCAGCAGCAGUCCUCUCCUCCUUUCUGGCCGAGACCCUGCCUCAGCCCUUCUUCCCCUCCUGCCUCUACUGCGCCAGCUCCAGAAGGAGCUAUGUUCCCCACCUGCCACGUGCUCAGCCGCUCCAGGCCUUGCCCAGGGCCCAGGACCAAGUCCUGUGAAUGCCGCCCUGCUCUGGGCUUCCCUGACCUGCCCCGGGGCAUCUCCCCACCACUGAACCCGCUGCUUCCUCUGCCGGGAGUACCUGUUCCUCUCUGCGUCCUGCUCAUCCUGAAAGGCUCCGUCAUGCCUCCUCUCUAAUUAUUUCCCUUGACCUCUUGUGGUCUGAAUAAAAAGAACAGAAGAACCAA